rfam:Solanum tuberosum cultivar DM 1-3 516 R44 scf00039_84, whole genome shotgun sequence.
GUUCAUUUUGGGAUAUCCAAUAAAAUUGGAACGGUACAGAGAAAAUUAGCAUGACCUUUGUGCAAGUAUGACACGUGUCUGUUUUCAAUUUGACUGAGGUUU